rnacentral:tRNA from 1 species
GGUGGCUCAGUGGUAGAGCGCCUGCCUUGCAUGCAUGAGGCCCUUGGUUCGAUUCCUCAGCACCA